CUUCCUUCAGCCAGGAGCCCAGCCAAUGGAAGGGGGAUGGAUGGAGGACGGUGAGUGCUUUGAGGACAGGGAACUAUCUUCUUGCUCUUUUUAUACGUAAACCACAUUGAGAACUUUUUUGUUGAAAACUGGUCUGGUGUCAUGGUAAGAGUAUUGGACUAGGACUAGGAAGACUUGGGUUCAGAUGUGCGUGACUUAAGGUGGCAUUGUGGCUAUUGAUGCCCACAUAGCUAUGAAGAGGGCUGAAGAAAAAACAGCUUUUGCAGAGGAUCUGAUUCAUUACUGCAGGGAAAAUAAGGAAAAAUAUCAGAGAGAAGCUGAAAAAUAUGCCAAACUGCUGGAAGAACAGGAGAACAGUAUCUUGGGGAAUGAGAAGAGGAUCCAAGCGAUUGAAGAAGAAAAAUCCAAGUUGGCCAAAGUUCAUGAGGAGACUCUGGAUUUGCAAGAGGCACUGAGGCACUGUUUUCUUUUUGUGGGUACUCUAGCUGCUAAAGUAAAUGUGGCAGAUAUAACAAGUCAAUACAAUUGUUUCUAUGAAUCCCUGAGGGCCCAGUUGGAUGAUAUGAACAAGCAUGUGCUUCCAUUAUUCUGUGCAAAAAGCACCGAGGAUGAGAGGCUAGCAAUCCUUCUCCCAGUAUCCAAACAACUAUCCUAAAGCUGAAGUGCUACUAUGGGCCCAAAACGAUAUUCUGAGACAUACUAGAACAGAGAUUCUCAAUCUUGGGUCCCCAAAUGUUAUUGGACUUCAAUUCCCAUAAUCCCCAGUCCCUGUGGCCUUUGGUUGGGGAUUAUGGGAGUUGAAGUCCAAUGACAUCUGGUGACCCAACGUUGAGAAUCUCUGUACUAGAAAAUGUUGGAGAUGCAGAAAAUGUUGGAGAUGCAUUGACCUUUUGCACCAGUAACCCUAAUAACCCCAGGGGCACUGGGAGUAGAGAUAGUUAGGGUCUCCUUCUCUUUCCUGUUUGCCUCUAUGGCCCCUCUAUGGAUAGAAUGUACUCAGGAACUUCCUGAGAGUGACUUCUUUUUUCUUUUCCUCUCCAUUAUUCUAAAGGUCUCUCUCUGACCAACAUGUAGCCAGCUGUUAGAUAUAGGUCUUUUCUAUCAUCAUGGACUUCUGAAUAAAAUAAAUUAGUUUAAGCUCA